rnacentral:rRNA from 1 species
AUUGAACGCUGGCGGCAUGCUUUACACAUGCAAGUCGAACGGUAACAGGUUAAGCUGACGAGUGGCGAACGGGUGAGUAAUGCAUCGGAACGUGCCCGGUCGUGGGGGAUAACGCAGCGAAAGCUGCGCUAAUACCGCAUACGAUCUGAGGUUGAAAGCGGGGGACCGUAAGGCCUCGCGCGAUCGGAGCGGCCGAUGUCAGAUUAGGUAGUUGGUGGGGUAAAGGCUCACCAAGCCGACGAUCUGUAGCUGGUCUGAGAGGACGACCAGCCACACUGGGACUGAGACACGGCCCAGACUCCUACGGGAGGCAGCAGUGGGGAAUUUUGGACAAUGGGCGCAAGCCUGAUCCAGCAAUGCCGCGUGCAGGAAGAAGGCCUUCGGGUUGUAAACUGCUUUUGUACGGAGCGAAAAGGCUCUCUCUAAUACAGGGGGCUCAUGACGGUACCGUAAGAACAAGCACCGGCUAACUACGUGCCAGCAGCCGCGGUAACAC